rnacentral:rRNA from 1 species
CCUACGGGAGGCUGCAGUCGAGAAUCAUUCACAAUGGGGGAAACCCUGAUGGUGCGACGCCGCGUGGGGGAAUGAAGGUCUUCGGAUUGUAAACCCCUGUCAUGUGGGAGCAAAUUAAAAAGAUAGUACCACAUGAGGAAGAGACGGCUAACUCUGUGCCAGCAGCCGCGGUAAUACAGAGGUCUCAAGCGUUGUUCGGAAUCACUGGGCGUAAAGCGUGCGUAGGCUGUUUCGUAAGUCGUGUGUGAAAGGCGCGGGCUCAACCCGCGGACGGCACAUGAUACUGCGAGACUAGAGUAAUGGAGGGGGAACCGGAAUUCUCGGUGUAGCAGUGAAAUGCGUAGAUAUCGAGAGGAACACUCGUGGCGAAGGCGGGUUCCUGGACAUUAACUGACGCUGAGGCACGAAGGCCAGGGGAGCGAAAGGGAUUAGAUACCCUAGUAGUC